rnacentral:rRNA from 1 species
CAGCCGCCGCGGUAAUACGUAGGGUGCGAGCGUUGUCCGGAAUUACUGGGCGUAAAGAGCUCGUAGGUGGUUUGUCGCGUUGUUCGUGAAAACUCACAGCUUAACUGUGGGCGUGCGGGCGAUACGGGCAGACUGGAGUACUGCAGGGGAGACUGGAAUUCCUGGUGUAGCGGUGGAAUGCGCAGAUAUCAGGAGGAACACCGGUGGCGAAGGCGGGUCUCUGGGCAGUAACUGACGCUGAGGAGCGAAAGCGUGGGGAGCGAACAGGAUUAGAUACCCUGGUAGUCCACGCCGUAAACGAUGGGCACUAGGUGCUUGGGGGAGCGACCCUCUGAGUGCCGGCGCUAACGCAUUAAGUGCCCCGCCUGGGGAGUACGGCCGCAAGGCUGAAACUCAAAGGAAUUG